GUCCUCGUAGCUCAGUUGAUAGAGCGUGCGCUGUACAAAGGCGUAGGCGGCGUCCGUGCGCGGGUUCGAAUCCCACCGAGGCUA
rnacentral:tRNA from 1 species